rnacentral:ncRNA from 1 species
UUUAAAACGAUGAUGGAGAUAAGUAUGCCCUGACGUCUUAUUUAGAGAGAGAAUCGUAUUGCUGGAAGGUUCUUAUAAGGCUGGGUUGAAAUUCACUCCUGAGUGCAGGAUGGAAACAUUAGUACAUUUUGCCGGCAAUUGCCGUUAAUAAUUUAAGUGGAUGUGCUUGAGCGCAUCAAUCAGGGUGGUACCGCGGUAUUAAUCGUCCCUUGC